ACGGCGCAGUGAGCGGCAAGAGCUCAAAUUUGAAAUCCGGCCCCCCUGGGGGCCUGAGUUGUAAUUUGCAGAGGAUGCUUCGGGCGCGACCGCGGUCCAAGUCCCCUGGAACGGGGCGUCGUAGAGGGUGAGAAUCCCGUCUCCGGCCGGCCGGUCUCGCCCGUGUGAAGCUCCUUCGACGAGUCGAGUUGUUUGGGAAUGCAGCUCCAAAUGGGUGGUAAAUUUCAUCUAAAGCUAAAUACUGGUCGGAGACCGAUAGCGCACAAGUAGAGUGAUCGAAAGAUGAAAAGCACUUUGAAAAGAGAGUUAAACAGCAUGUGAAAUUGUUGAAAGGGAAGCGCUUGCGACCAGAGUCGGCCGUGGGGGUUCAGCGGGCAUUCGUUGCCCGUGCAAUCCCCCGCGGCCGGGCCAGCGUCGGUUUCGACGGCCGGUCAAAGGCCCCCGGAAUGUGUCGCCUCUCGGGGCGUCUUAUAGCCGGGGGUGCAAUGCGGCCAGUCGGGACCGAGGAACGCGCUCCGGCACGGACGCUGGCUUAAUGGUCGUCAGCGACC
rnacentral:rRNA from 1 species